GAUGAACGCUGGCGGCGUGCCUAAUACAUGCAAGUCGAGCGAACAGACGAGGAGCUUGCUCCUCUGACGUUAGCGGCUGACGGGUGAGUAACACGUGGAUAACCUACCUAUAAGACUUGGAUAACUUCGGGAAACCGGAGCUAAUACCGGAUAAUAUAUUGAACCGCAUGGUUCAAUAGUGAAAGACGGUUUUGCUGUCACUUAUAGAUGGAUCCGCGCCGCAUUAGCUAGUUGGUAAGGUAACGGCUUACCAAGGCAACGAUGCGUAGCCGACCUGAGAGGGGGAUCGGCGACACUGGAACUGAGACACGGUCCAGAAUACUACGGGAGGGAGCAGUAGGGAAUCUUCCGCAAUGGGCGAAAGCCUGACGGAGCAACGCCGCGUGAGUGAUGAAGGUCUUCGGAUCGUAAAACUCUGUUAUUAGGGAAGAACAAAUGUGUAAGUAAAUAUGCACGUCUUGACGGUACCUAAUCAGAAAGCCACGGCUAACUACGUG
rnacentral:rRNA from 1 species